GCGCCGUUGGUGUAGCGGUAACACACAACCUGUGAAUUGUUAUUGUUAAUCCAGGGAUUUUACGUUGGGUCCCGGGUUCGAGCCCCGGACGGCGCA